CAGAAGCCUGCGGGCCCCACGAGGAAACCCCGGAGCAGGAGGCCAAGCUGUCUGUCAACUGCGGAGCCCAGCUGGAGAUUCCUGUCGGUUCGCUUUGACUCGGACAGACAGCUGCGGGAAAGCGCCUCCGGGCCUGGGCCUGGGAACCGCUCACUGUUCCAGAAAAACAUUCCUCCUCGGGAAAGCAAAAUCGAACACCUCUUUCCACCGCAGCCGGGGGGUGUGGAGGCUGGUUGGCAGGAUGGAGGAGGAAGACACGGGAUGGCACAAAAUGGAAAUUGUGCCAGAAGGCGGGGCCCGCGACGCUCUUGGAGGUGCUGUUCAACGGAGGAAGUGAGCUGCGAGGACCGUCUUCCCGCGACUUGCCCCAUCAGUUCCUGUUGCUUUUCGUGCUGAGAAAAAGCGUCUUUUUUUUUUUUUUUUCCCUGGGCUCCUGGGUGUGUUAUGUGUGGUUUGUAACAGUCGUCGGCCUGCCUCCCUGGGACUUGGCUCUGCAUUAAAGAAUGAAACCCUGGGGCAUGAUCCGUCUCGCCUCUCCCCUACCCCAUCGCCCAUUUGUGCAGAGGGGGCCCUGGUGACCUUGCAACUCUCUCUUUUAAUAUAAAAUUUAUUUACUUAUUUUAAUUUUUUUAAAUGUUUAUUCAUUUUGAGAGAGAAAGAGAGAGAGAGAGGGAGAAAGAGGGGCAGAAAGAGAGGGAGACACAGAAACCGAAGCAGGCUCCAGGCUCUGAGCUCAGCACAGAGCCUGAAGUCAGGCUCCAGCCCACCAACUGUAAGAUCGUGACCCGAGCUGGGGUCGGAUGCUUUAACCCACUGAGCCACCCAGGUGCCCCAUAAAGUUUAUUUAUUUAUUUUUGAGAGACAGAAAGAGAGCGAACGGCAAAGGAGCAGGGAGAAAGAGAGAGAGAAAACCCCAAGCAGGCUCCACACUGGCAGCGCUCCACGUGCGGGGCUCGAAUUCACAAACCGGGACAUCAUGACCUGAGCGGAAAUCAACGGUGGGUCGGACCCUUAACCCCCACAACCGACUGAGGCAGCCAGGCGCCCCGCCCUUGCAAGUCUUCAUCCCAGAGUUUAAAGGUCAAAGGUUAAGAACGGGUAGCUAGAAAAUCACUUAGAAAGCAGCAAAGAUGACGGUAGCUACGUUGUGGGGGACCACGCCCCCCCCCCCCCCACACACACACACAAACGGGAAAUUGGUGUCUGGAGAUAAAUGACAGGGGCCUGCCGCGGGGUAGGCUUCAGGGAUUGUGCCUUCUUGUUCUGUGUGCUCCACAGUCACUGAGCAUAGAAAACUUGUGAAGAUGGUUUCCUCUCUAGAAGGUGCUAGAAGAUAAACUUAGGAGCCGUGUUCUUUCUGCUACACCAUACUGAUGAGACGGCAAGCUCCUUCCCCAAGAAAGAAGGCUGAUGGAGGUUCCAGACACUUCCUCCUUCCUAAGGAAGAGAAGCAAACGACCAUGUUGUGGAGAAGGCCAUACGGCAGGGAAUGGCAGGACACCUCUAGAUGCCGAAGGCCCCAAUCCUAUAACUGUAAAGAACGAAUUCCACCGAACAACCGAUGAACUUGGAGGAGAAGCCCAACGUUCAGAUGAAUCCACAGCCCCGGCUGACAGCUUGAGGUCAGCCUGGGAAGACCCUGAACAGAGGACCUAGUUAAGCCGUGCCCAGACUCCUGGCCCACAGAAACCAUGCGAUAACAAGGCAAGUGCUGUUUUAAGCCUCUAAGUUUACGGUAACAUGUUACACCCCAAUAGAAUAUUAAUACAGGGCAUAUGGGCCCAUGUUGCAGAAAUACCUGUUGCUAACAGAACUCAUGGGACGCUGUUUUCAGCUGUCGGUGAAAAUUCCAACCAAGCCACACACAACUGUUAGAAUAGAUAUUUGUUUAGUUGGGUGCUGAGAGCUUUACUUCAAGGUCCCGUGUUUAAGCCUUCCGUAAGCCUCCAGGAUUCACACGCUGCAUUGGGGUAUGGCUGGUGUGAUGGGAGACGUCAGUGCUGUCAGCCAAUGGAGCUCUGCUGGGAGCUUCUGGGAGCCCCCCACCCCAAGCCUGGAGAAUGGAGUUAAAUUCUGGUUGGAUUUCCGGUGGGGGAGCCUGAGACCGCAGCACUGACCUACUGCGAAAGAGCAGACAAUCUGUAUAAAGAGAGUUCCAGGAGACCUCGCUGGGUAUUUUCCUGUUACAAGCAUGGAAAGCCCACAUAGAGUUUGCCGACACACUAUUGUGACCCGAUUUAAUAUCCCCAGUCAUAAUAUUAGAAACCUAUAGAAUCUCGUUUCAGAGCUAACGGUUUUCAAAUGAUGAGACACGAUUUCCAUGGCCUUUUAAACAUUAACACAAGGAAGAUAAAUCUCCACCGUAAGCCCCUCCUUUAUUUUGGACACUCAGAGAAUCAGCCUUCCCCUGGCCUGUGUCACCGAUGCUCUUUGGGAUGCAGAGUGCCCUUUGACAUCAACUUCCCACGCCACAAAUAAAAUGCAUUUCGCCUACACAGGAUUUCUGUGACUAGACUUGCUUCCUUUUGGUCUCCUCAAAAUCAGUUGUGACUUUCCUUUCCUCUCACCUCAGAAUAACUCCCUCCCCUGCUUCUGCACUUACUGGUCACUGUCGGCUUCCUCCUCUCCACGUCACUUUUUUUUUUUUUUUUAGCCUUCCAACCCUGAUCUCUCUGCCGUUCUCUACACAAACCAUAAAACGCUAUCACUUGCCAGUGUUUCUUUUUUUAAAAUUCAUUCAUUCAUUCAUUAUUUAUUUAGAAAGGGAAAGCAGGCAUGCACAGG